AUACGUAGGGUGCGAGCGUUGUCCGGAUUUAUUGGGCGUAAAGGGCUCGUAGGUAGUUGAUCGCGUCGGAAGUGUAAUCUUGGGGCUUAACCCUGAGCGUGCUUUCGAUACGGGUUGACUUGAGGAAGGUAGGGGAGAAUGGAAUUCCUGGUGGAGCGGUGGAAUGCGCAGAUAUCAGGAGGAACACCAGUGGCGAAGGCGGUUCUCUGGGGCUUUCCUGACGCUGGGGAGCGAAAGCGUGGGGAGCGAACAGGCUGAGAUACCCAGGUAGUCCACGCUGUAAACGGUGGGUACUAGGUGUGGGGUCCUUUCCACGGAUCCCGUGCCGUAGCUAACGCUUUAAGUACCCCGCCUGGGGAGUACGGCCGCAAGGCUAAAACUCAAAGGAAUUGACGGGG
rnacentral:rRNA from 1 species